UCAUAAGAAGUGUGGGCAAAGGGCGCAGAGGCGAGAGGCCGAUUACUGCUUGAGGGGCGGCGAACUAGCUGUUUUACUCUAGAAUAUGGAAGUUUGCUACUCUCGGAAUGUGCAAUGACAAGUGAGAGAGAAAAGUCAUCGACAAAAUUUGUUGCAGACUUCUAUCUGUAAGACAUCAGAAAACCGUCAUAGAAAAAUCUUUUUGAUUUCUAUGAGGUAAAAAAAAAAAUCGUUCCCCAAAUUUGCCGCCCUAGGCUCGAGCCUACUCAGCCUGCUGGUAAAUCCGCCACUGCAACUGAGCAAGGCUUGUACUGUAUAAAUUAUAAGUGCUUAAAGACGAUACCUUUGACAGUUAUUUUGUACGUAUAGUGAAUACAUAUUAUUUGCUUAUAUAUGUUAUACAUAACAAUCAUCUAAGAGUCGAAGUAUAAGCGACACGUUCAACAAAAACCCGGUAUUUAUGUAGUUGGCGUUUUAUUAAAGGUAUAGAAAAUGGAA